CCCCACCUCCGGCUGCCGGCAGGACCUUUCUCUCACUGCUGCUGGGACCCUGUGUCAUCACCCAGGCCGAGCACGAUGCCCCCUAAAAAGGGAGGUGAUGGAAUUAAACCACCCCCAAUCAUUGGAAGAUUUGGAACCUCACUGAAAAUUGAUAUUGUUGGAUUGCCAAAUGUUGGGAAAUCUACUUUCUUCAGUGUAUUAAGCAGUAGUCAGGCUUCAGCAGAAAACUUCCCAUUCUGCACUAUUGAUUCUAAUGAGAGCAGAGUACCUGUGCCAGAUGAAAGGUUUGACUUUCUUUGCCAAUACCACAAACCAGUGAGCAAAAUUUCUGCCUUUCUAAAUGUAGUGGUUAUUGCUGGCCUUGUGAAAGGAGCUCACAAUGGGCAGGGCCUGGAGAAUGCUUUUUUAUCUCAUAUUCGUGCCUGUGAUGGCAUCUUUCAUCUAACACGUGCUUUUGAAGAUGAUGAUAUUACGCAUGUUGAAGGAAGUGUAGAUCCUAUUCGAAAUAUAGAAAUAAUACAUGAAGAGCUUCAGCUUGAAGAUGAGGAAAUCAAGCUUGAAGAUGAGGAAAUCAGCUUGAAGAUGAGGAAGUCAAGGCUGCUGGAAAAAGCUUUUCAGGAACCAUAUUACUCUCAUGAUACUUCAUUAAUCUCCAUCAUGUAUGCCAAGCCUGACACAUUUGACAGUGAGGACAAUGCGGCUUACUCCUUUUUGAAUCUACGGAUAAUGCAUAUUUUACAGUACUCCAGAUGUCUACACUCAGUUUUCUCAAACAAUGAUGAAGGCCUUAUUAACAAAAAGUUACCCAAAGAACUUCUGUUAAGGUAA